CGGAGGAUCCAAGCGUUAUCCGGAAUCAUUGGGUUUAAAGGGUCCGUAGGCGGGUUUAUAAGUCAGUGGUGAGAGCCCAUCGCUCAACGAUGGAACGGCCAUUGAUACUGUAGAUCUUGAAUUAUUAGGAAGUAACUAGAAUAUGUAGUGUAGCGGUGAAAUGCUUAGAGAUUACAUGGAAUACCAAUUGCGAAGGCAGGUUACUACUAAUGGAUUGACGCUGAUGGACGAAAGUGUGGGUGGCGAACAGGAUUAGAUACCCUGGUAGUCCACGCCGUAAACGAUGGAUACUAGCUGUUCGGAGCAAUCUGAGUGGCUAAGCGAAAGUGAUAAGUAUCCCACCUGGGGAGUACGUUCGCAAGAAUG
rnacentral:rRNA from 1 species